rnacentral:hammerhead_ribozyme from 1 species
AUCCAGCUGAUGAGUUUGGGAUAGGACGAAACGUGCGUCCCGGAU